rnacentral:rRNA from 1 species
GUAGGGAAUAUUGGACAAUGGGGGGAACCCUGAUCCAGCCAUGCCGCGUGGAGGAAGACUGCCCUCUGGGUUGUAAACUCCUUUUAUAUGGGAAGAACCGUCCUCAUUAAUGAGUGACCUGACGGUACCAUAGGAAUAAGCACCGGCUAACUCCGUGCCAGCAGCCGCGGCAAUACGGAGGGUGCAAGCGUUAUCCGGAUUCACUGGGUUUAAAGGGUGCGUAGGCGGAUAAAUAAGUCAGUGGUGAAAUCAACGGGCUCAACCUGUUAACUGCCAUUGAGACUGUGUAUCUUGAAUAUGAGAGAGGUAGGCGGAAUGUUGCAUGUAGCGGUGAAAUGCUUAGAUAUGCUACGGAACACCGAUUGCGAAGGCAGCUUACUAUUUCGUAACUGACGCUGAGGCACGAAAGCGUGGGUAGCGAACAGGAUUAGAAACCCGAGUAGUCC